rnacentral:rRNA from 1 species
UACGUAGGGAGCGAGCGUUGUCCGAAGUUACUGGGCGUAAAGCGCGCGUAGGCGGGUCUAAAAGUCGGAGGUGAAAUGCUGUGGCUCAACCACAUGCAGUGCCUCCGAUACUUUAGGUCUUGAGUGAGGUAGGGAGAAGUGGAAUGGCUGGUGUAGCGGUGAAAUGCGUAGAUAUCAGUCGGAACACCGGUGGCGAAGGCGGCUUCUUGGGCCUUUACUGACGCUGAGGCGCGAAAGCCAGGGGAGCGAACGGG